GUGGCGGACGGGUGAGUAACACGUGGGAACGUGCCUUUAGGUUCGGAAUAACUCAGGGAAAUUUGGAUUAAUACCCCGUAAUAUAACGAUGUGGCAUCACAUUGUUAUUAUAGCUUCGGCGCUUGUUGAUGGGUGUGCGGCUGAUUAGAUAGUUGGCGGGGUAACGGCCCACCAAGUCUACGACCAGUAGCUGAUGUGAGAGCAUGAUCAGCCACAUUGGGACUGAGACACGGCCCAAACUCCUACGGGAGGCAGCAGUGGGGAAUCUUGCGCAAUGGGCGAAAGCCUGACGCAGCCAUGCCGCGUGAAUGAUGAAGGUCUUAGGAUUGUAAAAUUCUUUCACCGGGGACGAUAAUGACGGUACCCGGAGAAGAAGCCCCGGCUAACUUCGUGCCAGCAGCCGCGGUAAUACGAAGGGGGCUAGCGUUGCUCGGAAUUACUGGGCGUAAAGGGAGCGUAGGCGGACAUUUAAGUCAGGGGUGAAAUCCCGGGGC
rnacentral:rRNA from 1 species